CGUAUCUUAGUAACAACGAAUCAUGAGAAGUCAGCAGAGGUCAUAGUAGGUUGUCUACCAACUGAAGGAC
rfam:Globicatella sp. HMSC072A10 Globicatella_spHMPREF2811-1.0_Cont2.1, whole genome shotgun sequence.